rnacentral:tRNA from 1 species
GGUGGGUUAGCUCAGUGGUUAGAGCUUAGGCCUUGUGACCGGAAGGUUUCGGGUUCGAAUCGAAAUUCAUUU